GAGAGAGAGAGAGAGAGAGAGUGCAUGGGUUCGUGGUCUCUUCCGAGGACAGCCCCAGCUGUGGGGUCGCGGCCUGCCGCUAUGUCUUGUCUUUUACUCCGUCUUCUUCCCCACAGCCACACACACACACAUCCUCGCUUAAAUUUUCUUGUUGUUUCCUUCUUUAUUGCAACCGCACACCCACUGCUCUCUCUCUCUCUGUGUGACUCGUUUGCACGCAUCUCCUUAUACGGAGUGAGGGUAAUCAUUCCUUCAUCAUCGCCUCCUAUGCUGCUCAAACAUCUCUUGCAGCAGCCGGAAGGAAGCCGGAAGUCAUGGGGGAGGGAGGGGGGAGAGGAGGAUAAAGCCAAAGGCAGCUGAGAGGACCAUCAAGAAAGGGAAGCUUUUUCCUUGAGGGGAAUGUUGUCUGGCUCGAGGCCAUCUUCUCCUUCACUGUUGUUGCGUGUGGAGAGAUCUCGGACCAGGCUUCAUUCCCCUCAAUCACAGCUUCCAUCUCUACCAGUAGUGACCCAGCUUCUCUUAUAUUGAUCUCAUCUCCUGUUUUGGCAGAUUGGAGCAAUCAUGGUGGGGAGGGGUUAUGACUACCUACCUUCUUUUCAUGAUCUAUCCUUUCUGCUCAUGCUGACAUGCAGGGUAAGAGGCUUUCAUCAUUACCUUCCAAGAAGGGUUUCUUCUUUUGUCUCUCUUUCUUUUUCCUUGCAGACCUGCAGGCAGAGUUACCCGGAUGUCUUCCCAGGUUAACCAGCUCUGCAUCUCUCAGUUCUUGACAUGGUUCAGCUUUCUUUGCUUGUGUGCUGACAGUACUAUUUCUUCUUGGCUUUCUUUUUCCUUGCAAAUCUGCACGGUGGGGAGGUUCCCUGCAAGGUUUUCCAGGUUGACCGAGUUUGGAUCUCUGAUGUCUUUCUGGUUUCUUUGUUCUCUCUCUUCCCAUGUUUGCAAUCCCUCUUAGGGGUUUCCUUUCUUUGUUUGCCGAGCAUGGUCGUGUGUUGCCAUACACUUCAUUACGUCAAAUGUCUGAGGCAAUUAACGAGGCCUUUUCCAGUCGGCGUUAUGAUACUGAUCAGAGAUUACGGGUAUACAUACAUAUAUAUAUAUAUAUAUAUAUGUACCUUUGAUCUUUA